rnacentral:tRNA from 1 species
GCUGCCCUAGCUCAGUUGGUAGAGCACGUGACUGAAAAUCACGGGGUCCCCAGUUCAACUCUGGGGGGCAGCA